CCUUUAUUAAUUUAGGAUCCCAGUUACUAUUACUGCCAAGGUUAUCCAUCUCAACACACUUUAGUAUGACCCACACCACAUGGCUGGGGCCAGGUUAUUAAUAAUUUCCAUGGUCUUGAUCAUUUAAGCAUUACACGAACAAUUACAAACAGCAAUGGUUACUAUUAUUAGCAGGAUUUCUAUGAUUAAGCCAGAGCCCAAGACUGAGAGGUAGUGCUGAGUGCUGGUAGACAGAGGGCCAUUGAGUAUACAGAGGAGAGAGCACCGUAUGAGGGCCAAGUGAGGAAACAUGUUCACUGGAGGAAGGACUCAAUCUCUUCUUUAUUCGUCCAGCCUGGGUUUACUGAGCACCUACUUCUCUAGGGCACAUACUCUUCUAGCCCCUGGGACUCAGUGGUGAGCAAAGGCAGGAGGCCUCUCAGAGCUGGUGUUCUAGUGUGUUAAUAACUUGUUGAGAGGGGUAUUUUCUAAUGUAACAUCUUGGCUUGGUCAUACUGGAGGUCGUAGCUGUGAUCAGGAUGUGUCUUUGCCGGGACGUCUCAUGCUACCAUGGCCACAGCCACCUACACCAGAACCAGCACUGCUAGGACCACCAUAAGCAUCACCACCUCCAUCAUCACCACUCCUGUCACCAUCACCGCCACCUAUAGCUACCCCAGCACCACUAUGACCACUGUCACCACACCACCACCAGAGAGAGACAUCACCACCAGAACAACCCCGAUGGCCACCAGGUGACCAUGGUGACCACCGUCAAGCCAUCGCCACUGUGACUAGUGCAUCAUCACCAUCACCGCCACCUGCCCCAGGCAUCUGCACCGUCACAGCUGCAGGGAUUCCUGUUCCCAGCCAGAGCUGGCUGGCCCAUUCCGCUCCUACCCCGCUGUCACCUGCCCCUGCAGGAAGCUGGGCUCCCAAACACAGUGCCCAAGUUCAAGCACAGAGGGGGUGAGAGGUGGGCGUGGAGACAAGAAUUUCUGCAGGAGAGAAAGGCUGAGGGAAGGAGGAAAUGCAGGCCUCGCCAGCUGCAUCCCAUCUGCCCUGGGCAAUCAGCCAGGCAAGGACCACAUGCCCAGCAUCUCCCACCUCGGAGCCACCGUGAGAACUGCCUCUCCUCCUUUGACAUCACAGUGGAGUUGGCCUUAGGCUUCCGUCUUCUGGUCUGCACCCUUCAAAGCCAGCUCCUACCUGGUGCUGUCCAGGACCCCAGGAUCUGGUCGAUUCUGACAACCUCGGUGGUAGGGACUUUGCAUCUUGGGGGAUGGUGCCCACUGGGCAGUGCUACCCCGGAGAUUUCCGGGCCUUGUGGUAAGAA
rnacentral:lncRNA from 1 species